rnacentral:rRNA from 1 species
UCAGGUGGCCGCAGAGAAUAGGCCCAAGCGACUGUUUACCAAAAACAUAGGUUUCUGCUAAGUCGCAAGACGAUGUAUAGGAGCGGACGCCUGCCCGGUGCUGGAAGGUUAAGGGGAUCUGUUAGAGUAAUCGAAGCAGUGAACUUAAGCCCCAGUAAACGGCGGCCGUAACUAUAACGGUCCUAAGGUAGCGAAAUUCCUUGUCGGGUAAG